rnacentral:lncRNA from 1 species
GCGUUUUUGGUCUCAAGAAAUAAAGUCUUGAAUAAGAAACAAAAAUAACAUAAUAUCUCAUUGCAGGAAUUUUCAGCGGACAAGGUAGCCGAUGUGUAAGAUGGGUCAAUAUUGAGCAUAUUCGCGGUGAAGGUUUCCCUGGGAAUUUGAAGGACAAUUCAAAUAAGAAACCGAUAAUUUCCUCAAGUUUUCUUAUGAGUCGAUUGUUUAUGUGAAGAGUACAUAGAAGAAAGGCUCACCCAUAGAGCCAGAAUGAACAUCUUGCAGAAGACGUCAGAUCGCAGGGAGGGCUGUCUUCCUCAACCACAAAGAACUCGAUCUACAGUAAAGAAACAAGAGCCAGAUUGAUCAUGAUAUUGACCUGGAGCUGGGUAAUUAUCUCAAACGAUGGCUACGGGGACGAGGAGGAGGGCUGCCGCCACCUGUUGGUAGGCGGAGAACUCGACGAGACUCAUGUUGUCG